rfam:Asian citrus Psyllid, Diaphorina citri - Florida Strain, whole genome shotgun sequence.
GCUCCCAUGGCGUAGUGGUCACUGUACUCGCCUUGCACGCGGGAGACCCGGGUUCGAUUCCCGGCGGGGUCA